GUGCCAGACUCCUACGGGAGGCAGCAGUGAGGAAUAUUGGUCAAUGGGCUUACGCCUGAACCAGCCAAGUCGCGUGAGGGAAUAAGGCCCUAUGGGUCGUAAACCUCUUUUGUCAGGGAGCAAAGGCGUCCACGUGUGGACGAGAGGAGAGUACCUGAAGAAAAAGCAUCGGCUAACUCCGUGCCAGCAGCCGCGGUAAUACGGAGGAUGCGAGCGUUAUCCGGAUUUAUUGGGUUUAAAGGGAGCGUAGGCGGGUUGUUAAGUCAGUUGUGAAAGUUUGCGGCUCAACCGUAAAAUUGCAGUUGAUACUGGCAUCCUUGAGUACAGUAGAGGUAGGCGGAAUUCGUGGUGUAGCGGUGAAAUGCUUAGAUAUCACGAAGAACUCCGAUUGCGAAGGCAGCCUGCUGGACUGUAACUGACGCUGAUGCUCGAAAGUGUGGGUAUCAAACAGGAUUAGAUACCCCAGUAC
rnacentral:rRNA from 1 species